GAUGAAGAACGUAGCGAAAUGCGAUAAGUAGUGUGAAUUGCAGAAUUCAGUGAAUCAUCGAAUCUUUGAACGCACAUUGCGCCCCUUGGUAUUCCAUGGGGCAUGCCUGUUCGAGCGUCAUUUGUACCUUCAAGCUUUGCUUGGUGUUGGGUGUUUGUCCUGAGGGACUCGCCUUAAAGUAAUUGGCAGCCAGUGUUUUGGUUUUGAAGCGCAGCACAAGUCGCGAUUCAAGGCUAUACGCCAGCUUCCACAAGCCCUUUUUCACUUUUGACCUCGGAUCAGGUAGGGAUACCCGCUGAACUUAAGCAUAUCAUAAGCGGAGGA
rnacentral:misc_RNA from 1 species